CAUGCAGUUACAGGAUUAAACGCAUGAUGAGGAGCUUCGUCUUGAGCACAGCUUUAUUUCUCUCCAGCCUCAGCUGGAUCUCUGUCUCAGGUUCUGAGUUUCAGACUGUGGAGGUCCAACUUGGUGAAGAAGUCACGUUGAAGUGCUCCAACAUUUCGAGUCAUCCAACACAGACAGACUGGUUCAAAGUUAUCAACAGAACUAAGCCCAGCUGCAUUGCUGCUAUGUAUGGAUCUCAGGGCAAAGCUUCAUUCUGUGAUGGAUUUCGAAAUGGAAAAUUCAAUAUGAGUUCCAACAACACCUCUGUGUUUCUUAAAAUCACACAAGUGGAUUUAUCUGAUGUCGGGCUGUAUUUCUGUGGAUUUUACGUGAAUAAGCAUACGGUCAUUUCCAAUGCAGUCGAGUUAAGAAUUCAAGGCGGUGAAACCAAUGAAGAAGAGGGUUUUAAGACGGAAAGUAAAAUUAUUUUUCUGACUCUUAACAUUUUGUUUUUCAUUGUGAUCAUUAUUAUUAUUAAUAUUACGUGUAAAUCAAACAGAUUGAAUUAGAGUGAUGUUCUAUUAUAAUCUCUUUUACAGAAGAGCCUGGUAAUACACAUGUGAUGAGCAUCGUCCUGAGUGGUGUGACUGGUUUGCUCACUGUGGUGGUCAUUGUUCUGGUUCUAAAAAUCUGGAAACUUCAAACAGAACCUAAACCAGAGAGAAACAAGAAAGUGAGCUCAGAAAAUCUGAAGUACACGGGGAUGAAUAUACAGAUGAAUGUCGAAAGCAGCUGCAGGUCUGUGGCACAGACAGAGCUGGAGACACAUGUUGUGUAUGCUGCCGCCAGAUAGACUCAAUAAGUGGAGCUCAUGCUUUAUGAUACUAACCUGCUGAUGUAGUUUUGUGGAUGUUUUGUGGAUGACAUGGCAAAAACUG